AUGUAAUUUAUAAAGUUUUGUCAUGGUUGGGCUGGAAAUAUGGCCCUAUGGGUGGGAGCUGCGUCAGUUGGUGUUCCUGGCUAACUAUUCAGUCAUGACGCUAACUGUGUCUUUUUGUUUUUCAGCUGAGGGGCCACUCGCAGGCAGUGACAUUUUGAAGAUUUGUCUUUUUUUUCAUCAUUCUAGAAGAGUCCAUAAACUGGCAUCCAUUAAUGGUCAUGGAUACUGAGAUACAGCAGCAAAAAAUAAAUGUCGAGUUGUUUGUUGACCUGAAGAAAGAUGAAGAUCAAGUAUGCAGAUACCUGAACCCACAGUAUGGUGGAGAAAAAGGGACAAAGAUUGGAACAAACUGUGUGAGAGGCCAAGAUCAACAAGAAAUCAAUUACCUAAGAAUACUGAUCACUGAGUGAGACAACGUGUUGCUCUGGUGGUUGAGGGUUGCUUCAUCUCUGGUUGGAUCACACCCUGAGAGAGAGGCAGCAGAGAGGAGGAAGUGAUAAAGUGGAUAAGAUGACAGUGGAACAUGUGUGUUUUGGAAGGAGGAUGAAUCAGGUCCAACAUGGAUGCAAACAGUUUUACUACUCUUAAAUGAAAGCAUGAAGUCGGGAUUUACA